AUGAACGCUAGCGACAGGCUUAACACAUGCAAGUCGAGGGGCAGCAUGAUUUGUAGCAAUACAGAUUGAUGGCGACCGGCGCACGGGUGAGUAACGCGUAUGCAACUUACCUAUCAGAGGGGGAUAGCCCGGCGAAAGUCGGAUUAAUACCCCAUAAAACAGGGGUCCCGCAUGGGAAUAUUUGUUAAAGAUUCAUCGCUGAUAGAUAGGCAUGCGUUCCAUUAGGCAGUUGGCGGGGUAACGGCCCACCAAACCGACGAUGGAUAGGGGUUCUGAGAGGAAGGUCCCCCACAUUGGUACUGAGACACGGACCAAACUCCUACGGGAGGCAGCAGUGAGGAAUAUUGGUCAAUGGCCGAGAGGCUGAACCAGCCAAGUCGCGUGAAGGAAGAAGGAUCUAUGGUUUGUAAACUUCUUUUAUAGGGGAAUAAAGUGGAGGACGUGUCCUUUUUUGUAUGUACCCUAUGAAUAAGCAUCGGCUAACUCCGUGCCAGCAGCCGCGGUAAUACGGAGGAUGCGAGCGUUAUCCGGAUUUAUUGGGUUUAAAGGGUGCGUAGGUGGUGAUUUAAGUCAGCGGUGAAAGUUUGUGGCUCAACCAUAAAAUUGCCGUUGAAACUGGGUUACUUGAGUGUGUUUGAGGUAGGCGGAAUGCGUGGUGUAGCGGUGAAAUGCAUAGAUAUCACGCAGAACUCCGAUUGCGAAGGCAGCUUACUAAACCAUAACUGACACUGAAGCACGAAAGCGUGGGGAUCAAACAGGAUUAGAUACCCUGGUAGUCCACGCAGUAAACGAUGAUUACUAGGAGUUUGCGAUACAAUGUAAGCUCUACAGCGAAAGCGUUAAGUAAUCCACCUGGGGAGUACGCCGGCAACGGUGAAACUCAAAGGAAUUGACGGGGGCCCGCACAAGCGGAGGAACAUGUGGUUUAAUUCGAUGAUACGCGAGGAACCUUACCCGGGUUUGAACGUAGUCUGACCGGAGUGGAAACACUCUUUCUAGCAAUAGCAGAUUACGAGGUGCUGCAUGGUUGUCGUCAGCUCGUGCCGUGAGGUGUCGGCUUAAGUGCCAUAACGAGCGCAACCCUUAUCACUAGUUACUAACAGGUGAAGCUGAGGACUCUGGUGAGACUGCCAGCGUAAGCUGUGAGGAAGGUGGGGAUGACGUCAAAUCAGCACGGCCCUUACAUCCGGGGCGACACACGUGUUACAAUGGCAUGGACAAAGGGCAGCUACCUGGUGACAGGAUGCUAAUCUCCAAACCAUGUCUCAGUUCGGAUCGGAGUCUGCAACUCGACUCCGUGAAGCUGGAUUCGCUAGUAAUCGCGCAUCAGCCAUGGCGCGGUGAAUACAUUCCCGGACCUUGUACACACCGCCCGUCAAGCCAUGGGAGCCGGGGGUACCUGAAGUCCGUAACCGCAAGGAUCGGCCUAGGGUAAAACUGGUGACUGGGGCU
rnacentral:rRNA from 1 species